rnacentral:rRNA from 1 species
CGCGCAGGCGGGUUAGCAAGUCAGUGGUGAAAUCCUGCGGCUUAACUGCAGAACUGCCAUUGAUACUGCUGAUCUUGAGUACGGAAGAGAGAAGCGGAAUUCCAGGUGUAGUGGUGAAAUACGUAGAUAUCUGGAAGAACACCAGUUGCGAAGGCGGCUUCUUGGUCCGUUACUGACGCUCAGGCGCGAAAGCGUGGGUAGCAAACA